GUGCUCGCUUUGGCAGCGCAUGUACUAAAAUUGGUAUGAUACAGAGAAGAUUACCAUGGCCCUUGCCCAAAGCACAUUGUAACAGAAAUACAGAGGCUACAGAGACCU
ensembl:snRNA U6 U6 spliceosomal RNA